rnacentral:rRNA from 1 species
GAUGAACGCUGGCGGCGUGCUUAACACAUGCAAGUCGAGCGAGUGAGUUCUUCGGAACGAUCUAGCGGCGGACGGGUGAGUAACACGUGGGCAACCUGCCUCAUAGAGGGGAAUAGCCUCCCGAAAGGGAGAUUAAUACCGCAUAACAUCGUUGAAGGGCAUCCUUCGAUGAUCAAAGGAGCAAUCCGCUAUGAGAUGGGCCCGCGGCGCAUUAGCUAGUUGGUGAGGUAACGGCUCACCAAGGCGACGAUGCGUAGCCGACCUGAGAGGGUGAUCGGCCACAUUGGGACUGAGACACGGCCCAGACUCCUACGGGAGGCAGCAGUGGGGAAUAUUGCACAAUGGGGGAAACCCUGAUGCAGCAACGCCGCGUGAGUGAUGACGGCCUUCGGGUUGUAAAGCUCUGUCUUUGGGGACGAUAAUGACGGUACCCAAGGAGGAAGUCACGGCUAACUACGUGCCAGCAGCCGCCGCGG